GCAAAAAGACAAAAAUAGGGCAGGAAAAGUGGGACCACAGAUCCACCGACCGGAAACGAAGAAUCCAUAAGGAGGGGUUCGGUCGAGUCGGACCGGUCGGAUUUGGAUUUUUACGAACAAGGGAGUGGACCCCCCGAGACGACAGACGUAAGCAGUGACAACAUCGACUAAUGGCCACGUCAGCAACUGACUUCUCUAUGCGAAACGUGUAUCGGCAGCGUCAUCCACCCACAGUUUCAGACGCCAAGUUUCUCAGAGAGAUAUACAAGAUUAGGAUCAGGACCAUAUCCCCCCAACCACCAUCGUCCUAAUCUUAUUUCGUAGUUACUACUUACUACUAGUGGCUAUCAAUAAUAGGC